rnacentral:rRNA from 1 species
GUGUAGGACCAUACCAUCUGAAGGCACCCAAUCUCGUCUGAUCUUGGAAGACAUCACAUAAUGACAAAUGCUGGCGAGGCUUCAGGGAAAAAGGAAGCCUUCCAUA